rnacentral:lncRNA from 1 species
AUGGGGCUUCAAGAUUUUCCAUUUUAUCUCUCCAACUCUGCAAGGUCUAGAUUCACAGCCUCCAGAAAUCCAGUUACAGGAGCUGGUUUUCUGUGGCAUGAUUAUAGAAGGACCCCACGAAGAAAAGCCUUCCGUAUGUAUUAUGGUAACCCAGUGACCGGAGAUGGCUAUGAAUCCACGCAAGUUAAAGAAACCAGAACCACAACAUCAGCCCCCGCAUCAGACCUGAAACCCCGUCAACGCGUACCACCGGUGGAUUCUCCUCUGGACUUUGGUGAUUCCUCUCUUUCUCUCUCUCGAUUUCUCAAAUGA